CAGUCACCUCCUCCUUUCUUAUAGGCAGAGGUCUAGCCGACAGAAACUACAACUCCCGGCAGGCUCCGGCUGGCUUGGCGUCAGUUUUCGGGGCAGUAUGGGAACUGUAGGCUCAGGCCCUCGUGAUUGCCGCAACGUGCGCUGGCCUUCCUCGUCCAGUCGCUGCAGCGCUCGCCUUGAAUCUGCAGGUCUCGGCACAUGCCCGAUUAUAAGAAUCAUCUGUGGGGCUGGUUAAAAGUAGAAAUUAACAGGCUUGUCCCUGAGAUGUUCGGAUUCAGUGUUACUGGAUACAGAAAUGGAGACGCAAACAGUUUGUUGCCCUGAUCGCGUAGCUAUAGGCUGAAGACGAGGCUUUGAACUCAGGUGUUCCGAAUCCAAAUCUGGCAGUGUUUAACCUAAGGUAUGCUUCCUUCUGAGAUCUAGCUGGCAUCACACACUAGUCUUCUGGGUCCUGUGAAGAAUAAGAGAAGAAUAAAAAGGACAGCGUCCUCCCUGUUAGCAACUUCCCACCUCAGUGGGUGCCUCCUGUGCGAUGGGAACUUUCUAUCUGGAGACACUUGAGACAGACCGCAGUAUGUGACUGUACGCGAUUCACAUCCAGAGAGAGAGGCUCAGACUGCAGAUGCCAGCUGACAUCGGGUUGAGCGUGGGCUGGAGGAAGGCGCCACUGAUCGUGUGCUGCUUAAACCGAGCCCUGAUGUUUGGAAUGAUCUGGAAGGAAUUGGAGGGGUGGACACUCCUGAUUCUGACAAUGGGACGAGCACGCUCUGCCCAGAUUCCUUGUUCCUGCACCGUGGGGGCUUGCCUUCCUAUUUCCUCGCCCUUCUCCCCGCCAUGGCAGUCCCCUACCCCCAAGUCUUUUUGGCUUCAGACCUUUCCUCCCUGCUUCCCUCUCACUGGAAGUAACCAGCCCUGCCACUUGCGCUCACUGCACAGAUGUUUCCCUCGGUGCUCCCAGAAGACCCAGAUGUCCUGGUGCAGUAGAAACAACGUGUGUGACACACUGGCCGCAGACUUGGAGUUCACGCUGACCUGGGUCUGGAUCCUGCUCUGCUUGAGACGCGCGGCCGCGGGCGAGCUGAUCGGCAGGUUGGGCCUCUACAUCAUCUCCUGUACCUCAGGACUAUUUUCUGGAUGAAAUGAGACAAUGCAUGGGUAAAAGGUCUGGUGCAGGUAGAGACACCCCCAAAAAUACUGGUUCCAGCUUUGCCCCAGGUUAUUUCAGCCAAGCCUGAUGGCAAAGAGGACCAGCCAGGGGGAUGGAAGAGUGAAAGCACUCACACUGGGGAAUCUGAUCACACUGGCCUUGGUCCUGGUUCCUGAUUCCAGGAGAGUGACUUAUCUGGAGUCUUCCCAGGAGCUGUGCUCAGGACGAAACCGGACAAUGUACGCGAAGUGGUGCACCCAGAGGUUGACGUGUAGAAAGUGCUACAGCAUCACCAUCGUGGCUGAGCCCAGGCCACAGAAACUGAACCCCGUGGUGGCUUCGGGCAGAACAUUUGUACCAGCCUUAGAAAGAUGAUGAAAUACGUUGCAAAUGACGGAUCGUCUCUACAAAGCCUUUACACAGAUACGCGCUCCAUUUCUAGUAGGGGUUCCUGGGGGCCGGGAUCAUUUGGAAAUAAAUAGGGCCUGGGAGCGCCAGCACGACCGAUGUUCUUGAGUUGCCCUUGGGAGCUCACACACAACAUCCCAUCCUCAGGAUUCACACGAUGCCGAGGGCUCAUCAUGCGUCAAGAGCAGAGUAACCAAACCCGGGGCAGUUGGCAUUCUGGGGCGCUUUGUCUGGUAACCUAACAGACAAAGCCAGCAUAUGGACAACAGCCUGCCAGCCUGCUUCAGGCAGGGCAGAGCCCAGGGACAGGGGGCUCUCCUCACCUGCUUGUUAGAAUGACAGCAGCAGAAAUAGAUCAAAGGUGAAUGCACCGAAUAUCUUCCUGUUUUCAGGUGCACAGCAGGAUCGAAUGGUUGCCUCAUCCCAGGAGCCCGCAGAGGGUGGCCGGGCAGAACUGAAAAGGGAAGGAGACUCAGCUGAGGUGAGGCCAACCCCAGCGCAUUUUAAAUCAGGGCCCUGAGUGCCCUGGGCCUUCCCUGGGACUCGGCCUCGGGGCCUGCUUUUAUUAUCUUUACACCGCUCGGGUCCACGCAGGUUUGGCAGGCAUGAGACACGGAACAGAGGGACCCGAGUGAAUCAGCCUUCAGGAAUAGAACUGCUUGCAGGAAAAGCGCUCUUGCUGCGACGUAUUUUCAUGCUUCUAGACCUGCUUAAAAUACGUGGUGUUAACAGAGCCUGCCCUUACUAUGAGAAGGUGGGCUGUGCAGCUGAGACCAGGCAGGAAUAUGCUGAGGACACCAGUAAGAACAAAAGCAGCUCAAACACAUUGAGUGCUUACUAUGUGCCAGGCACUUCUGAGCGUUUGACAUAUGUUAAUGCAGGCAGUCCGGGUUUUUAAUCUUGAUUUCCCUUAUGAAUUUGCUCUGCGUCCUUGCGAACUUACCCACCUUCUUUAAACAGAGAGAGAAUCACAUGCAUUUCAUAGGUUUGGGGAGAGAAUUAAAUGUAGAUAAUGUGGGGGCGCCUGGGUGGCUCAGUCGGUUAAGCGUCCGACUUCGGCUCAGGUCGUGAUCUCGCAGUCCAUGAGUUCGAGCCCCGCGUCGGGCUCUGUGCUGACAGCUCAGAGCCUGGAGCCUGUUUCAGAUUCUGUGUCUCCCUCUCUCUGCCCCUCCCCCAUUCAUGCUCUGUCUCUCUCUGUCUCAAAAAUAAAUAAACGUUAAAAAAAAAUUAAAAAAAAAAUAAACGUAGAUAAUGUAGGUAAAGCGUGAGGAGGUGUUCCAUGAUGGUGACCAAUGUUAUUUUUAUUAAUAAUGUGAACUCUCCUGUAUAUUUUCUUCUUUUGUACCUGUUUCCCAAGGCCUUGCCUGCCCAGGACCCAUCCUUCUGAAAGUGGGAGUACAGAGAUCCACCUUCUCUCUCUGGGUGAACUCCUACUUAACCCUCAAGACCCAUUUCAAAAGUUCCCUGCACUGUGAAAGCUUUGCCAGUUUCCACAGCGCAAGACAAAUUGCUCUUUGCCAUGCCUCCAUCCUGGCCCUCACCACAUCGUAUGGUAAUCGUGUCUGUUUAUGCUGUCUUCUUGACAGCUUGGAAGUUUCUGGAGGUGCAGUAACAACUGCACUCUCCUAGCUUAGCAGUUCUCCAGGUGCAGUCUGGAGACACCUGGGAGCCCACGAAACUCUUUCAGGGGAUCCUUGAGGUCAAAGCUAUUUCCAUAACUCUAGGACGUCAUUUGCAUUUUUCAUUCUAUUAACAUUGGUAGCGGUGGUGGGUAGAACUGACGUUGGUUUGAAUCAAGGAUGUGGCAUUAUCAAAAUGUACAAGGAAUGGCCGUAUCUGUGACCGUCACCCAGUUGCAUUAAAACACAUGAGACUGGCACGUGUGUAAGGACACCAAGGAUGUCCCUAAUGAGGCAAUGAAAUGGUUAACUUUAUGAAACCUCGACCCUUGCCUUUUUUGUUGUUGUUCAUUUGUUUACUUUGAGAGAGAGAAUGUGAGCAGGGGAGGGGUGGGGGGGAGAGAGAGAAUCCCAAGCAGGCUCUCUGCUGUCAGGACAGAGCCUGACACGGGGCUCGAUCCCACAAAGCUGUGAGAUCAUGACCUGAGCCGAAAUCAGGGGUUGGACACUUAACUGACUGAGCCGCCCAGGCGCCCCAUCGACCCUUGUCUUUUUAAUGAUCUGUAUAAAAAAAAGCGGGAAGGACGGAUAAAGCAUUUUGGCUGCAUACAAAAGCACCAUCGUUGCAGGCAGCGUGGAGGAAAAGCUCACAUGUGGUCGAAUUGUGAGCUGAAUCACUCAUUGCUUUUUCACGACACAUGCUUUUUACUUGAAAGAACAACCGACGAGCGCCAUGCUUUUUCAGAUUUGGGCAUUUUGCAGAUGUUCUCUCAGAAAUGAAUUAAGCGAGCCUGUCAUUUUAGGGAACGCAACUGGCGGUAUUUGUUCCCGGCGAUAAAGUUCGAGCUAAGUGAAAAGCAGAAGUUUGGAAAACUUUAUCUGCCAUUCUGAACUUGACGCCUUCUCAUCAAACGUCCUGGAGGAGAACUGCGGUGAUACUGGUGACUUUGAAUUCGUGAUACUGUACAAUGAAACAUGUCAAUGUUUGGAAAACCUGCAGGAGUCUGUGAAGCAGUUGUUUCCCAAUGAACAAUCAAGAUGUUAGGAAAUCUUGCCUGGGUAAGAGAUCCCUUCAAAGUGGGAGACAGACCAGUGGAUUUUGAUGGGGCAGAGUAGAACAGUUCGGCAGCACAGUUUCGGAUUUUACGUUGCAGCUACGCUUAACCAAAACUUGUCAAGUGUGACCGUAGUUCCAAAGAACACCCAUGAUUAUCCGAAAAGGCUGUUAAACUGCUUCUCCCUUUUCCAACCAUGUAUCUGUGUGAGGCCAGAUUUUCUCUCUACCUUUUAACCAGAACAAGCUAUUGCCCCAGACCGAAAGCAGAAGCUGAUCGGAGAAUCCAGCUGUCUUCCAUUAAGCUGGACAUUGAAGGGAUUUGAAGAUAUGUAAGACAAUGUCCCUCUUCUCACCAAUCAUCUUCAUUCUGUCAGGCACCGCUGUGGCAGGAAAAAUGAAACCCCCUUUUCAACACUGCCCUUUCACAGUCGCCAAGGAGAGCCUUCGCGAGCUGGUGAUAAUUUCAACUUCAUUCUGGAAAUGUAAUCCAGUCCCAUCCAUCCUCCUAAGUGACGAGCCAUGGUCAACACCCCGUUUUUCCCGUCUACGGCUGGAGGAUAAUGAUGCCGGUUCUCAUUGUGCUUCUAGACCUUGGGACCCGAGGGACCAGCCUUUUUUUUUUUUUUUUUUUUUUUUUUUCCUGCCGGAGAUAGGGAAAGGACGGGCCAGUGUUUCGAACAAACGCUUACCCUUCUUCCAGUUGAAUAGACGCGGGGAAGGCUGUGGAGGAGGGAGAGGGGCAGCCUCGAAGGCCCGGCAACCAGGCCAAGAGGAGCAUUCAAUCAGAGACCUGACAUUUGCCUAUUGCCCUCUUAUCAGAGUCGCUAAGUCACGGGGGCCUUUGUGCCGCGGAAUUGGGAAGGAAGGAAUGGCCCGGCCCAGCCAAUCCCGUGUCCGGCCCUCUGCCCAGGCGCCUGCCAUUAGCAUUUCCCUGACAUCUGACUGAUAUCUUCAUUUCACUUCGGUAAACAGGCCACCUCAAGGCCAAGGUGACAGUGACCUCUGGCGCUGCAAGCAGCACGGGAUUCUCCCCGGAGGCCCUGGUAGAGCACUUCCGCAUGGGCCAGGGCUCUUAUUUCCCACCCCGCCACCACUCCGGUGAGUGCUGACUAACUAACUAACUAACUAAAUAAAUAAAUAACCGUCCUGCAGAACAGACCGCGGGCGUGCUGGGCAGAGAAAGAGAGGUGAGGAAGGGCAGCAGGGAGGGCUGGGCGAGGCAGAGGGGGAGGUCUGACUUAGAAGGUCGCCUUUGCUUCUCUGCCACUAAGAACAAUGCAGCUGCCCAGGAAACACUACCAGAGGCAGCCCGGCUAUUAAUAGGCUGGAGCACGCGGGCGGCCAAGCUGCUGCAUUUCUGAUGUUUAAAUCUCCAGUGUGAAGUUGCUUGCAGGCUCCGAUUUUGCAAAGACAAUUAAAUAUAGAUUCUUUGGGGUGAGGGUUGGGAAGGGUGUGGGUGGAAUGUAAGCCUGUGUCGCAAUGCUAUUUAAUCCUGAGUAUUUCAGUGGGUCUACUCACAUGCUCGACAGACCUACUUGAGCACGUGAGGUGUGACAAGUGCAGGGUACAACCAGAUGAAGCCCCCCCCCCCCACCUUGCCCCCAGGAAACCCAGGGGGUUGCAAUCACUACUUCCUGCAGGGGCCAGGCAAACAACAUACAUAAAUGAUGCAGACGGUGUGAAACAAUAGGGAACGGUGGGGUCUGUGUAUAAAGCAUAGCUGUGUCCUCUGUACAGGCAUUGGGGGCUGCUCAGCCCCAAUAAUUAUUACUGUGCAGGCGUAACAGCCCAGUUUUGCUAUGCCUUAUGAUUUUUAUUUAUUUUACAUGUUUAUUUAUUUUGGGGCGUCGCAAGCAGAGGAGGGGCAGAGGAUCCAAAGCGGGCCCUUGGGCUCUUUGCUUCUGGCAGUGAGCCCGAUGUGGGGCUUGAACUCACGAACCAGGAGAUCAUGACCUGAGCUGAAGUUGGACGCUCAACUGUCUGAGCCACCUAGGUGCCCGAUGCCUUAUGAUUUUUAAAGGAAAGACAUACAUUUGGAAUUUCGUGUGAGGUUUUUUUUUUUUCCUGGUUUUGAAAAAAUAUCGUGUGGGCCAAACAAACCACAUCUGCAGGCCUGUUGGGCCCAGGCAAGAUCUUAUAAUGACAUAUGAUAAAAGUUGAUAUAGAAGGAAUCCCAGAAGCUGAUGAGAGCCUAGAGGUGGGCAUUUAACCCAUCCAGGGUCAGGGGUGGAUAGGCCUUCGUAGUGAAGGAGAACUGUCUGAACAGUGAUAAUGAUGGAAUAAAUCAUGGCAAAAAGUUUGGGGGAACCAUUCCAGGCAGAGGAGUAGGAAUUUUGCUGGAUACAUUGCACCUGCCAGCUAAAGACUGUUCUCAGCCUUUGUUGCAACCAAGGGUGGCCAUCUGACAAACGGUGUCUGUCUCAUGACCUUAAAGCGUGGGGGGUUGGGUGGUAAUCUGCCCUCCCCUCACCCUCCCUGCUUCCAUAUUGCUGACUGACCUGGCCAUCAAGAACACAGAUUGUGGAGCUGGUGAUGAAACCUCUUUGGCUUUGGUUUCUGUAAAAUUGAGAUAAUAUUAUCUACCCCAUAGGGAGAUAGGUUGAAGGAUUACUGUCUACAAAGUAUUUAGAACAGUGCCUGACAUGUACGUUUGCCACCCAGGCGUUACUCCAUCAAUACGGUUCUGCUGACAAUAUGUUCUAGGGGGGGGCAGAGCAAGAAGAGAGUUGGGAGCCCAGACCCCAGCUCCAGCCUUGCACCUGCACUGAUUCGCACAGACAAGUCGACUGCUCUCUCUCUUAUGCCGCUGCAUUCUGCACCUCUGACGCAGCAGCCCCGCUAUCCUUCAAGUGCAAUGAGUAAUUCAGAGAUCGGCUGGGGCUCUUCCGGCCUGUGAAGAAAUUGCCUCAAAUUGCCCCUCACUGCAUAGCCUGGUAAAAUCCGGAGGGACGCUGAUACCCGGUGGCUUGUGGCUCCUGGAAGUUGUGAGCCCAGGUUUCUCUUGUGCCACCCUGUCCCACACCCCAUCGUGCCCUUGAGUUCCCGCAUCAGAGACAACAAGCAGGUACCCACGGGAAGUUUGAGGGGGCUGAGUGGGCUUCAUUGAAAAAGGUGGCUGAGUGCCUGGGUAGAGCAGGUAUGUGACCAUCAUGCAAACUCUGAGCCCCCUGCUAGACCCCCAUAUCUCCCUCUCCCCCACCUUAGGAGCCCGGUUUUUCCAGUUGCCUGUGAAGGCCGCUCAGUGCCCCUACCGUCCUCUGCUUUCAGGGUGCCUAAGGGACGAAUGGCGCUGGCUACAUCUGCAUGGAGGCCUGGCCACCCCGCCCCCCCCCCACCCCAUGACUGAGAGAGGCAGGGAUACAAAGGCAGCCCUGCGGACACAGAAGUCCCAAACCUCGGGGACCAGCACAGCAGCCCAGGACAUUUCCGCCCAACCUUCCCUUCCUCUCAUUUUCACGCGGAGUUCAAUUGCGUUACGGUCUGACUGCUCUCUGAGCCAUGGCGUUUCCCUUAAUAAAACCCCUGUACAUCCGU